rnacentral:rRNA from 1 species
AGACCCAGGGAACUGAAACAUCUAAGUACCUGGAGGAAGAGAAAGAAAAAUCGAUUUCCUGAGUAGCGGCGAGCGAAACGGAAAGAGCCCAAACCAAGAAGCUUGCUUCUUGGGGUUGUAGGACACUCUAUACGGAGUUACAAAAGAAAGUUAUAAAUGAAGCGGUCUGGAAAGGCCCGCCAAAGACGGUAACAGCCCGGUAGUUGAAAUGGCUUUCCCUCCAGAGUGGAUCCUGAGUACGGCGGAACACGUGAAAUUCCGUCGGAAUCCGGGAGGACCAUCUCCCAAGGCUAAAUACUCCCUAGUGACCGAUAGUGAACCAGUACCGUGAGGGAAAGGUGAAAAGCACCCCGGAAGGGGAGUGAAACAGUUCCUGAAACCGUGUGCCUACAAGUAGUUAGAGCCCGUUAAUGGGUGAUAGCGUGCCUUUUGUAGAAUGAACCGGCGAGUUACGAUUUGUUGCAAGGUUAAGCGGAAAAAGCGGAGCCGUAGCGAAAGCGAGUCUGAAUAGGGCGCAUAAGUAACAGGUCGUAGACCCGAAACCAGGUGAUCUACCCAUGUCCAGGAUGAAGGUAAGGUAAUACUUACUGGAGGUCCGAACCCACGCACGUUGAAAAGUGCGGGGAUGAGGUGUGGGUAGCGGAGAAAUUCCAAUCGAACUUGGAGAUAGCUGGUUCUCUCCGAAAUAGCUUUAGGGCUAGCCUCGAGGUAAAGAGUCAUGGAGGUAGAGCACUGUUUGGACUAGGGGCCCUUCUCGGGUUACCGAAUUCAGAUAAACUCCGAAUGCCAUGUACUUAUACUCGGGAGUCAGACUGCGAGUGAUAAGAUCCGUAGUCGAAAGGGAAACAGCCCAGACCACCAGUUAAGGUCCCCAAAUAUAUGUUAAGUGGAAAAGGAUGUGGGGUUGCUUAGACAACCAGGAUGUUGGCUUAGAAGCAGCCACCAUUGAAAGAGUGCGUAAUAGCUCACUGGUCGAGUGACCCCGCGCCGAAAAUGUACCGGGGCUAAACAUAUUACCGAAACUGUGGAUGAACCUCUUUAGAGGUUCGUGGUAGGAGAGCGUUCUAAGGGCGGUGAAGUCAGACCGGAAGGACUGGUGGAGCGCUUAGAAGUGAGAAUGCCGGUAUGAGUAGCGAAAGAAGGGUGAGAAUCCCUUCCACCGAAUAUCUAAGGUUUCCUGAGGAAGGCUCGUCCGCUCAGGGUUAGUCGGGACCUAAGCCGAGGCCGAUAGGCGUAGGCGAUGGACAACAGGUAGAGAUUCCUGUACCAGUGCUAAUUGUUUAACCGAUGGGGUGACACAGAAGGAUAGGGAAUCGCACGAAUGGAAAUGUGCGUCCAAGCAGUGAGUGUGAGAAGUAGGCAAAUCCGCUUCUCGCGAAG